UAAUAGCCCAGAGCCUGGACCUGUUC
rnacentral:piRNA from 1 species